UACGUAGGUGGCAAGCGUUGUCCGGAAUUAUUGGGCGUAAAGCGCGCGCAGGCGGUCCCUUAAGUCUGAUGUGAAAGCCCCCGGCUUAACCGGGGAGGGUCAUUGGAAACUGGGGGACUUGAGUGCAGAAGAGAAGAGCGGAAUUCCAUGUGUAGCGGUGAAAUGCGCAGAGAUAUGGAGGAACACCAGUGGCGAAGGCGGCUCUUUGGUCUGUAACUGACGCUGAGGCGCGAAAGCGUGGGGAGCAAAC
rnacentral:rRNA from 1 species